UACGUAGGGUGCGAGCGUUAAUCGGAAUUACUGGGCGUAAAGCGUGCGUAGGCGGUUCUCCAAGUCCGUUGUGAAAGCCCCGGGCUCAACCUGGGAAUGGCAGUGGAAACUAGGGGACUGGAAUCUGGCAGAGGGGGGUGGAAUGCCGCGGUGUAGCAGUGAAAUGCGUAGAGAUGCGGCGGAACACCGAUGGCGAAGGCAGCCCCCUGGGCUGAGAUUGACGCUCAGGCACGAAAGCGUGGGGAGCAAACAGG
rnacentral:rRNA from 1 species